rnacentral:rRNA from 1 species
AUACGUAGGGUGCAAGCGUUAAUCGGAAUUACUGGGCGUAAAGCGUGCGCAGGCGGUUUUGUAAGACAGUGGUGAAAUCCCCGGGCUCAACCUGGGAACUGCCAUUGUGACUGCAAGGCUGGAGUGCGGCAGAGGGGGAUGGAAUUCCGCGUGUAGCAGUGAAAUGCGUAGAUAUGCGGAGGAACACCGGUGGCGGAGGCAAUCCCCUGGGCCUGCACUGACGCUCAUGCACGAAAGCGUGGGGAGCAAACAGGAUUAGAUACCCUGGUAGUCCACGCCCUAAACGAUGUCAACUGGUUGUUGGGGAUUUAUUUUCUCAGUAACGAAGCUAACGCGUGAAGUUGACCGCCUGGGGAGUACGGCCGCAAGGUUAAAACUCAAAGGAAUUGACGGGG